AGGAAUUUGUCAGUAAACGUUCUGAUAAUUUCUGGAUUGGUCUGACUGACAGUGAUGUGGAGGGCAGAUGGGAAUGGGUUGAUGGCAGCACACUGACCUCUGAGAUCUGGAGGUCUGGAGAGCCUAAUAGUUACAAUGGUGAUGAAGACUGUGCUUCGACUCAUUCAACAGAAUGGAAUGAUUAUCCAUGUAAUACAGCAUUAAGAUGGAUCUGUGAGAAGAUUAUUUUUAAAUGACACAUUUCAAUAAAUAUGUGAGCAGAGUGUAUUAUGAACACACAAGAAACUAUAAUAAUGUAAUAAAUUAAAAUGAAAUAACUGCACAUUAUGUAAUGAGUAUUACAUUACUAAUAACUUAACACAUAAAAAACAUUUUUGUUCCCUUGCCAUAUUAUUUAAAAUCUAAUCUAAACCUUAAGCUAUCUACAAAUUGCACCAGAUUUAAAUAUACAUCAAAUUAUUACUAAUACUAGUACUACUGUACAUUAUAUGAGUUAUAUACAGAACCGAAAUCAUCUGAAUAACAACCUGUGAAGAAAUAACGUUACGUUUACCUCAGGAAGAUUUGGCCAAUAAUGACUUUAUGUCACAGUCACAUGGACUUUCAGUUUGUUUGUUUUCAUCUGUCACAUGUUCCUUUGUUCUAGUUUCCCGCCAUAAUCUGUAACCAUGGACACUAAUCACAUUCAUCACAGCUGUUCAUCAUUUGAGUUAAUCAGUCAGUGUAUUUAAGUUCCUGUGUCUGUUCAGUAUGUUGUCGGGUGUCGUUCGUGUCUACAUUGGUGUAUGUUCCUCUCUGUUCCUGUAUUCUCCUGUUGGAUUUUCAAGUAAAAGACUUAUUUGACUCUUA